ACGAACGCUGGCGGCAUGCCUAACACAUGCAAGUCGAACGAGACCUUCGGGUCUAGUGGCGCACGGGUGCGUAACGCGUGGGAACCUGCCCUUAGGUUCGGAAUAACUCCCCGAAAGGGGUGCUAAUACCGGAUAAUGUCUUCGGACCAAAGAUUUAUCGCCUUUGGAUGGGCCCGCGUUGGAUUAGCUAGUUGGUAGGGUAAAAGCCUACCAAGGCGACGAUCCAUAGCUGGUCUGAGAGGAUGAUCAGCCACACUGGGACUGAGACACGGCCCAGACUCCUACGGGAGGCAGCAGUGGGGAGUAUUGGACAAUGGGCGAAAGCCUGAUCCAGCAAUGCCGCGUGAGUGAUGAAGGCCUUAGGGUUGUAAAGCUCUUUUACCCGGGAUGAUAAUGACAGUACCGGGAGAAUAAGCUCCGGCUAACUCCGUG
rnacentral:rRNA from 1 species